rnacentral:lncRNA from 1 species
GGAGGUUGCUGCGGGAGCCGCUCCCGGUCGCCGGACCGGUCGGCCCGGCCCCUGCGGGCGCCGAGCGACACGGUCGUUCGGCGGCGGCGGCUGGGGACCGUGGCAGGAGCGGCUCGGGCUCGCCGGACCGGUGGUCCCGGCCCCGUCCGACUCGGUCGCUUCGCGGAGGUGGCUGGAGGUCGCUGCCGUGGCGGCUGGGGCACGGCGGAACGGUCUACCCGGCUCCGGCGGGCUGCGUCCGCCUCGGUCGCUGCCGUGGCGGCUGCUAGGGGUCGCUGCCGGGGUGGCUGGGGCACGGCGGAACGGUCUACCCGGGUCCGGCGGGCCCCGUCC